rnacentral:lncRNA from 1 species
GCAAGUGCUGAGCCCUUGAUUUUAAGUGUGUCCCGCCAAGCGAGGAUGGCAGACAUGCCAGGGGGGUGACGCGGCCCAGUGGCAGCGCGCAGCUGUCUCUGCAACUGGCAGGCACGCCCGCAGCUGCCGGCAACGUCGGCCAACGUUGAGCCACCACGUCCACCAGGCAGAGAUGGAGGCCAAGGUGACUGACCACGGCUGGAGGAGUUCUCCAGCACCCCGGAGCCCCAGAAGCACGCACUGUUCCCACUUCAGCUGCUGGGCCAGUGAAGGUGCAGACUUCUCUUCAAACAAGAUGCAGGAAAAAAGUAAAGGAGGCAGGCAGAAGGAUCAGUGUCAGAGUUAUGGGAGAUGAGAAAGGCCGUCGAUGUCUUUGAAGAUGGAAGGGGGCCAUGAGUCAAGAAAUGCAGGAGGCUUCUAGACGCUGGAAAAGGCAAGAAAAUGGAUUUCCCCCUAGAGUUGCCAAAAAAGAACACAGUCCUGCUGAUGCCUUGAUUUUAGCUCAGUGAGACCCACUUCAGAUUUCUGGUUUCCAGAACUGCAGGAUAUUAAAUUUGGUUUGUUUUAGGCCACCAAGCUUAUGGUCAUUUGUUGCAGCAGCAAUAAGGAGCUAAUGCAGGAUGGAGGGGAAUAUCAGAGACAGUGUGAGUAUUCAGUGGGACAAGUUUUGUAAAAUGUGUAGCCCUUUUCUUAAUUCUAUUAUUAUUUUUACUGCCACCAUCAUCAUCACCGUCCUAUCAGGGAAAGCCUACCUCCUGAGGUCCAUGCAGAUGUGCUUGGGCUGCCCACUCUCUGUCCA